AUUGAACGCUGGCGGCAGGCCUAACACAUGCAAGUCGAGCGGAUGAAGGGAGCUUGCUCCUGGAUUCAGCGGCGGACGGGUGAGUAAUGCCUAGGAAUCUGCCUGGUAGUGGGGGAUAACGUCCGGAAACGGGCGCUAAUACCGCAUACGGCCUGAGGGAGAAAGUGGGGGAUCUUCGGACCUCACGCUAUCAGAUGAGCCUAGGUCGGAUUAGCUAGUUGGUGGGGUAAAGGCCUACCAAGGCGACGAUCCGUAACUGGUCUGAGAGGAUGAUCAGUCACACUGGAACUGAGACACGGUCCAGACUCCUACGGGAGGCAGCAGUGGGGAAUAUUGGACCAUGGGCGAAAGCCUGAUCCAGCCAUGCCGCGUGUGUGAAGAAGGUCUUCGGAUUGUAAAGCACUUUAAGUUGGGAGGAAGGGCAGUAAGUUAAUACCUUGCUGUUUUGACGUUACCAACAGAAUAAGCACCGGCUAACUUCGUG
rnacentral:rRNA from 1 species